AAAUGCGCUGAUGGCAAAUUAUUGGGUAGGUGCGUCUUAAACGUUCGAAGAAGACAGUAGACUUGACUUCGUAAACACCAAGUCUGGUAGAUAGUCUGGGUUUAUCAUUCCUAGAAUGGCAAAAUUAGAGUUGCUUAAUUUGUUUCUCACCGAGCGAUUAACAUCGGCUGCACAGGAGAUUUAUAAAAUGGUUGAAGACGCGUUGGCAGAACACCAAGCCGAGAUAACUUACGUAAAGAGAGAGAAUGAAUAUCUACGAAGGCAGUUAAAUUCCAACAAUAGACCGAGGAAAAAUAAAGUUAAACCAGGUCCACGACAAAUUACCAGCCCUGUAUCUGUAGCAGUAACUUCCCCAAACCAGCAGCAACAGCAGAGUGAGCAGGAGUUGAGUCUCAGUCUGGCGAGGGAGACCUCUCAAACGGAUGAGAAGCAAGAAUUAAAGACAAGUCAAGAGGAAGAGGAUCUCGAAGAAUCUGGUUUGACUGUGUCUCCCACCACAUCUACUACUCACUGUGUGAGCAAAGACAAUGAACAGGGCCCAUCCAAAACCUUGCCCCAGAUGCAAGCAGACACCAAGCUGAUACAGUCCUUACCCGCAACUUUUCUUCUGGCCUCGCCCUCAAAGCCCUUUCAAAUCCCACAGAAGCAAAGCAUUGUAUUGUCUCAUAAGAUAUCACCACUUGUCAUUCAGGUUGUAAAAAAGUCAUUCAUUUGCAAGGAAUGUGGAAAAACAUUUCGGUACAUGAGUCGUUUGAAACAGCAUAUGCGCAUGGCGCAUACACAGGAAAAACCCCACUGCUGUACUUUCUGUGGGAAGUGUUUUCUCACUGCCAGCAAACUAAAAACACACCAGCUCAUACACACUGGGGAGCGACCAUACCUCUGUAAUGUCUGUGGUCACUGUUUCAACCAGAGGUCAAACCUAAAAGUGCACAUGCAGAGGAAACACAAGGAUGUCAAGAGUAUGACCUGAUUGUUUUUUCCUCCUAAUUUGUUUGGAAGUAAUCUCCCCUUUGACACAGAAAUGACUGUUUGAGGACAUAACGGUUGGGUAGUGGAGGUGUCCUCCCCUCCUCAAUACCCCACUUCCAUAGAUGAUACUUGUAUCUUUGUGCAGAAUAGUUGAAAUCUACCACCUUCACUUUGAACAUGAUAUGAUUUAAUCACAGGAAUAGAGCAUAUGGGAGAAAAGCAUGCACAUGAUUAAAAACAAUAUGCCAGGUGUUAUAUCAAUAAAGUAUAUUGCACUACUAA